rnacentral:piRNA from 1 species
UCUUACAUUUUCCCUCUAAGAGUGUGCUC